rnacentral:lncRNA from 1 species
UUUAGAGGUGCUAUAGGUGGCUACAGAGAAUGGGUGGAAGCAUGUGCCAUGUGGGGUGCCACAUGCAAGGUGGGCUGUGAUAGUCUUUGGAAUAGGAGCAAAGCAGGUCACUGGAAUGCUGUUUGGUUCCUGAGACAGGUGUUGUAGAGGAAAAAGGUGGUCUGGCGUGGCAGCUCCUGAUGGUGGUCGUCUUCGGUAGGUGAAGAGGUGCCUGAAGCCCCAUGCUGUGGAGCCUGAGUACGCCUCGCUGAGGAUGAAGCCUGCUUUCCAGCAGUUCCCAAAACUGUGUUGAGGCUGAAAUGACGUAUCGAGCCACUUGUGUAACUCUCCAGAAGACUAAAAAGAGCUUGAUUACACACUACAAGAGGCUUGAACACGUAGGCGCAGUAUUACGAAGAGACUGAGCAGGGUCGUAUCAGAGUUACCUUUU